rnacentral:rRNA from 1 species
GACCAAGGGUUCCAGGGCUAGGCUAAUCCGCCCUGGGUAAGUCGGGACCUAAGGCGAGGCCGACAGGCGUAGUCGAUGGACAACCAGUUGAUAUUCUGGUACCGACACACAACCGACAAUACCAAAACACAUGAGACUAACUCCCCGGUCCACCCGUGGCGUCUUCGGAUGUCUGGUUGGUGGGUUGGUGAGGACCUGAGUGUGGAGUCGGUAAGCGUGAGGUGUGACGCAGAAAGGUAGCCAGGCCACGCGAUGGUAGUCGUGGUCUAAGGUCGUAGCAUGUGGGGGUAGGCAAAUCCGUCCCCACACAAGUGUGAGAGCUGAUGGGCGCCCCACAGUGGUGGGGUGAUCUGGUGAUCCUCUGCUGCCGAGAAAAGCAUCGACGUGAGGGUGUGUGUUGCCCGUACCCUAUAACCGACACAGGUGGUCAGGUAGAGAAUACUAAGG